rnacentral:rRNA from 1 species
AUUGAACGCUGGCGGCAUGCGUAACACAUGCAAGUCGAACGGUUUCUGGUGCUUGCACCGGAGAUAGUGGCGGACGGGUGAGUAAUACGUAGGAAUCUGUCUUAGAGAGGGGGACAACCUGAGGAAACUUAGGCUAAAACCGCAUAAACUCGGAAGAGAAAAGCAGGGGACCGGAAACGGCCUUGUGCUCUAAGGUGAGCCUACGUCGGAUUAGCUAGUUGGUGGGGUAAAGGCCUACCAAGGCGAUGAUCUGUAGCUGGUCUGAGAGGACGGACAGCCACACUGGGACUGGGACACGGCCCAGACUCCUACGGGAGGCAGCAGUGGGGAAUAUUGGACAAUGGGGGGAACCCUGAUCCAGCGAUGCCGCGUGUGUGAAGAAGGCCUGCGGGUUGUAAAGCACUUUAAGUUGGGAGGAAGGGCAGUAAGCUAAUACCUUGCUGUUUUGACGUUACCGACAGAAUAAGCACCGGCUAACUCUGUACCAGCAGCCGCCGUAA